UACGGAGGGUGCAAGCGUUAUCCGGAUUUACUGGGUUUAAAGGGUGCGUAGGUGGGUUGGUAAGUCAGUGGUGAAAUACUUUCGCUUAACGAAGGAACUGCCAUUGAUACUAUCAAUCUUGAAUGUAGUGGAGGUAGGCGGAAUGCGUCAUGUAGCGGUGAAAUGCUUAGAUAUGACGCAGAACACCAAUUGCGAAGGCAGCUUACUACACAGUUAUUGACGCUGAGGCACGAAAGCGUGGGGAUCAAACAGG
rnacentral:rRNA from 1 species